rnacentral:lncRNA from 12 species
GUGAGUGCACAGGUAAAGGUGUGUGGGACAGGUGAGGGGGUGUGGGACAGGUACAGGGAAAGGGGCAAGGAGGAGAGAGCGCGGAAAGGGAGAGGGAGCAAGAGCAAGGGGAGAGGAAAGGCCAGGUGAGUGCACAGGUGUGGGACAGGUACAGGUGUGUGGGACAGGUGAGGGUGUGUGGCACAGGUGGUCAGUGGUCACUGUGGUCUCACUCUGGUCAGUGGUCAGUGUGGUCAGUCUGGUCACUGUGGUCACUCUGGUCAGUGGUCAGUGGUCAGUGGUCAGUGGUCAGUGGUCACUCUGGUCACUCUGGUCACUCUGCCCGCAGCACCAUCACGCCGGUGCUGGUCAGUGGUCAGUGCGGUCACUCUGGUCAGUGGUCACUGGUCACUGGUCACUGGUCAGUGGUCACUGUGGUCACUCUGGUCACUCUGGUCACUCUGGUCACUGUGGUCAGUGGUCACUCUGGUCACUCUCUGUGGUCAGUCGUCAGUGGUC